UCCGGUAAGGAGCCAGCAAAGUGCCAUGUUGAUUACCGAGAAAAGGGUAAAUUAUUUUGAAAGAAUUUCAUGUUCGAGCAUCGGAAGGCAUAAAAUGUUGAGAGAAAAUCAAAGGACUAGCCAUAUACUUGCCUACUUUAUGAUAAGUAUCCUAGGGUUUACCCAUCGAAGGUGUCGAUUCAGGGUCAUAUCGAGACUAAAGAUUCUCGAUUUAAGCGAG
rnacentral:lncRNA from 1 species